AGACCAUGAUAUGGACACUUUCUCUACAAAUCUUUAUAUCUUUCCCAAGCUUCGUACAAAGAUUCACCAUCCAAUUACACAAAACUAAUAAUAUCAUUUCUAAGUUU